rnacentral:rRNA from 1 species
GGGCCCGCACAAGCGGUGGAGCAUGUGGUUUAAUUCGAUGCAACGCGAAGAACCUUACCAAGGCUUGACAUACUACAAAUUUCUUUGAGAAAGGAAAGUGCCUUCGGGAAUGUAGAUACAGGUGGUGCAUGGCUGUCGUCAGCUCGUGUCGUGAGAUGUUGGGUUAAGUCCCGCAACGAGCGCAACCCUUGUUUUUAGUUGCCAAUUUAUUGGGUUUCUAGAAAGACUGCCGGUGACAAACCGGAGGAAGGUGAGGAUGACGUCAAGUCAGCAUGCCCCUUAUGCCUUGGGCUACACACGUGCUACAAUGGCUAAGACAAAGAGUUGCGAACUUGUGAAAGUCAGCUAAUCUCAUAAACUUAGCCCAAGUUCGGAUUGUAGGCUGCAACUCGCCUGCAUGAAGUCGGAAUCGCUAGUAA